UACGUAGGUGGCGAGCGUUGUCCGGAUUUACUGGGCGUAAAGAGCGCGCAGGCGGUCGUCCAAGUCGCGUGUGAAAGCCCCCGGCUCAACUGGGGAGGGUCACGCGAUACUGAUCGACUCGAAGGCAGGAGAGGGAAGCGGAAUUCCCGGUGUAGUGGUGAAAUGCGUAGAUAUUGGGAGGAACACCGGUGGCGAAGGCGGCCCCCUGGACCGGUACUGACGCUGAUGCGCGAAAGCGUGGGUAGCAAACGGG
rnacentral:rRNA from 1 species